rnacentral:rRNA from 1 species
GCCUACGGGGGGCAGCAGUGAGGAAUAUUGGUCAAUGGGCGCGAGCCUGAACCAGCCAAGUCGCGUGAGGGAUGACGGCCCUACGGGUUGUAAACCUCUUUUGUCGGGGAGCAAAUUCCGCCACGUGUGGCGGAGUCGAGAGUACCCGAAGAAAAAGCAUCGGCUAACUCCGUGCCAGCAGCCGCGGUAAUACGGAGGAUGCGAGCGUUAUCCGGAUUUAUUGGGUUUAAAGGGUGCGCAGGCGGCACUGCAAGCCGGCGGUCAAAUCGCGGGGCUCAACCCCGCCCCGCCGUCGGAACUGCCGG